rnacentral:tRNA from 1 species
GGAGAGGUGGCCGAGUGGCUGAAGGCGUGCCCCUGCUAAGGGUAUAUCUGGGAAACUGGAUCGAGGGUUCGAAUCCCUCUCUCUCCGCCA